rnacentral:rRNA from 1 species
CGUGGGGAACCUGCCCCAUAGUCUGGGAUACCACUUGGAAACAGGUGCUAAUACCGGAUAAGAAAGCGGAUCGCAUGAUCAGCUUUUAAAAGGCGGCGUAAGCUGUCGCUAUGGGAUGGCCCCGCGGUGCAUUAGCUAGUUGGUAAGGUAAAGGCUUACCAAGGCGAUGAUGCAUAGCCGAGUUGAGAGACUGAUCGGCCACAUUGGGACUGAGACACGGCCCAAACUCCUACGGGAGGCAGCAGCA